rnacentral:rRNA from 1 species
AUCCUGGCUCAGGAUGAACGCUGGCGGCGUGCUUAACACAUGCAAGUCGAACGAUGAAGCCCAGCUUGCUGGGUGGAUUAGUGGCGAACGGGUGAGUAACACGUGAGUAACCUGCCCUUAACUCUGGGAUAAGCCUGGGAAACUGGGUCUAAUACCGGAUAGGAGCGUCCACCGCAUGGUGGGUGUUGGAAAGAUUUAUCGGUUUUGGAUGGACUCGCGGCCUAUCAGCUUGUUGGUGAGGUAAUGGCUCACCAAGGCGACGACGGGUAGCCGGCCUGAGAGGGUGACCGGCCACACUGGGACUGAGACACGGCCCAGACUCCUACGGGAGGCAGCAGUGGGGAAUAUUGCACAAUGGGCGCAAGCCUGAUGCAGCGACGCCGCGUGAGGGAUGACGGCCUUCGGGUUGUAAACCUCUUUCAGUAGGGAAGAAGCGAAAGUGACGGUACCUGCAGAAGAAGCACCGGCUAACUACGUGCCAGCAGCCGCGGUAAUACGUAGGGUGCGAGCGUUAUCCGGAAUUAUUGGGCGUAAAGAGCUCGUAGGCGGUUUGUCGCGUCUGUCGUGAAAGUCCGGGGCUUAACCCCGGAUCUGCGGUGGGUACGGGCAGACUAGAGUGCAGUAGGGGAGACUGGAAUUCCUGGUGUAGCGGUGGAAUGCGCAGAUAUCAGGAGGAACACCGAUGGCGAAGGCAGGUCUCUGGGCUGUAACUGACGCUGAGGAGCGAAAGCAUGGGGAGCGAACAGGAUUAGAUACCCUGGUAGUCCAUGCCGUAAACGUUGGGCACUAGGUGUGGGGACCAUUCCACGGUUUCCGCGCCGCAGCUAACGCAUUAAGUGCCCCGCCUGGGGAGUACGGCCGCAAGGCUAAAACUCAAAGGAAUUGACGGGGGCCCGCACAAGCGGCGGAGCAUGCGGAUUAAUUCGAUGCAACGCGAAGAACCUUACCAAGGCUUGACAUGUUCUCGAUCGCCGUAGAGAUACGGUUUCCCCUUUGGGGCGGGUUCACAGGUGGUGCAUGGUUGUCGUCAGCUCGUGUCGUGAGAUGUUGGGUUAAGUCCCGCAACGAGCGCAACCCUCGUUCCAUGUUGCCAGCACGUMRUGGUGGGGACUCAUGGGAGACUGCCGGGGUCAACUCGGAGGAAGGUGAGGACGACGUCAAAUCAUCAUGCCCCUUAUGUCUUGGCUUCACGCAUGCUACAAU